CAAGUAUUUCAGAGACCCGCGAUAACCUCUACGUUUUUAACCAGACUAGUUUUACUGCAUGACCAUGGUAAACCGUAGUGUAAUUUCAGGUUUGCCGAAUGUAUGUGGAAAAUAUAUGAGACAAGUUACACAAGUUUUUUCCAGGAAAAAACAGAUACUUGGCGUACACGGACAUACAGGAAUCCAUGAAAUUUCAUGGACAUACACUGCGGGUUGUGAGGACUGAUGUCAGGUGUGGACAUUUCAUAUGUUAAUGAAUAUCAGUUAAAGGUGCUUGAUGUGCUCUCAGAUUGAGAGAGGGGGGUGAGCAAGCGAAGUUUCACAAAAUAGUCUUAAUAAAUUUAAACAAAUAAAUUAUAAAGCUAGCUUUAUCAUUUUUGACAGCACCAUUAGUUUGUAUUGGCGGUAUGGUUCUGUUCUGGGCAAGAACUCCCUGCCCAUCCAUGCUGCCUAGCAUGGAUAAGAGCAGGGAGAGCAGCGAUAACCCCCACUAGGGUAAACAGAACACAACCAAGAUAAGGUAUGCAGAUAUCAUUAAUGUUCUUAAUGAUAAUAAUUUAAUGUAACAGCAUAAUUCAAGAAAAAGGAGUCCGAUUCAAAGAGGUAUAUAAGAGGCCAAGUCCUGACAGGAUGAGAGGAGGAGCUGGGGAUGGGGUAAUUAGCUCCUGAGCAAAUCGAUUAAGCUGCUGAUAAUACUGAAUGGACCUUAGAUGAGUGAAUGAACAGUGCUCUCUUCCACUCUCAUUACCUACAACUGAGGUGCCCUUGAGCAAGGCACCUAACCCCUAAUCUCUCCCUGGGCGCCGCAGCAAAAAUGGCUGCCCACUGCUCCGGGUGUGUGUUCAUGAUGUGUGUCUGCGCACUUGGAUUGGUGAAAUGCAGAGCACAAAUUCCGAGUAUGGGACACCAUACUUGGCCCCACGUCAUGUCACUUUCACUGUCACUUUCAUAUAUAGGGAUGAGGUGAUAGGCGUCAUAUACCUUAUAGGUAGACGUGGAUCAAAUGAAAGUCAGCUGAUGCGAGCUUGACUAACGUGACCUGCCAGAACUAACGCUACACUUGAUAUGUAUGAUUUAUAAUUUGAAGGCAUCCUCUCUCCCCAAUUUCAUUCCUCUUUCCAUAUUGUUUCACAGAAAUGAAGACCUGAGGCCAUAUUCACAAAACAUUUGAUUUUACCACCACUAAGAGUUCUCCUAAAUAGAUGUAAAAGUUCUUAGGUAAGAGUUAUCUUUUAAAACCUUUUCACAAAGCUACUGAGACUAACUUUUACUAAGGAACAGAGAGAAAUGUUAAGCUAAGGGAAAGGGUGGGGUUGACCUCAUUGCUAUGGAUGAUAUCAGCACGCUUACUAACUAUGCACACAGUGAUUGGCUGAUAGAGGAGGGGUCUCUGUCAGUGAAUUAAUGAUAGAAAUAUUGUAGAACAAGGUAUCAUAUUGCCAUAUUAAAAGAUUUUAAAAUGUAAGCUAAGUAUUACUAAUUAAACAAGUAUAUGUUCAGCUAAUUGUCAGCCUCUUACAUGUCUGCAUCUCGAGAGAUUUCAAGCUACAAAUUGUUUUAUAAACAAAGUUCGGGAGGAGCGCGUUCAAAUGGUCGAGAGGAGGCAUAUAUACACAGCCGACUCACCUAGUUACCUCGACAGCUUUCUGCAUCCACCCUUCACACCGACUCCUCACUCUCGGCUGGAUACGGGGGUGAACUCUGGGUUUGCGCUAAAUUCUGAGCUCUGAGCCUCCCCUUGGACAGCAUGCCAAAUAUGCUUAUUUGACUUUUUUACUCUAUUCAAUCAUUUGUAAGUGUGAGCUCGUUGAAACAACUGCCACAGGUAACCAGACAUUAUUUUUAAUUUAUUUAAUAUUUAUUUUUGCCAUUUUUGCCUUUUUAUUAUGAUAGUAACAGUGAGUAGACAGGAAUCGAGUGGAAGAGAGAAAGGGGGGACGGGAUCGGGAAAGGUUCACAAGCCGGAACUUGAGCUCAGGUCACCCGAGCUGCCCACAAGGCUAUCAGCACAGAUGAUGGGAACAUUAUUUUAAACUUAACUGCAAUGUUUUGUUCUCCAUCAUUCAAUGCAUUUUGCCUGUAUAUAAAUGAACCUUUAUGUUAUCGCAUCACAGAUUAAAAUCUAUAAAUCAAAAUAUUUAUUGCAUUUAUGAAGAAAAGUCUCAGCACCCAAGUCUCUAUCACCUAUUGCCUCAAUGGUGUACAGUGUUUUUGGGCGGAUUGCCAGCAACAGCCAUUUUAGGAUUGUUUGUGAUUUUGUCUUAGUAAUGGGUGUCCUCUUUUCACAGAUUUAGGAGCUGGUUGUAGCACUAAAAUGCUUUGAGAAAUACUCUUAAAGCGAAAAAUUUAGGAGUCCUAAAAUUAGGAAUGACAUGCCCAUUAUUUUUAAUGCUGUGAGUGCUGUGAGUGAGGUGUCAGGGUCAAGUAAGCGCUCUUCCCCCUGGUACAAACUGGAACAAAAUCCCUUUCAAUCGUUCCAGAAUGAAAUCAUUAUUUCAAAACAAGUAAUUAAAAAAGUUAUUAUUUUGUUCUGAUAAUUUGUCAAUGACAAAUUGUCAUGAUAUCAAGGAAGCCAAUAAUUUUUUUCCACUGUAAACAUUUAUACUUUCACUACAUCUCUUCACAGAUUGCUUUAAUUGCCCACUUGAAUGCACAAGAGAAAAAACGGUUAUCUGUUUUACUGUGCAUCCGUGGAAGGCACAGCGUUUGGUGCCCUCUGAAGACCCCACCCCCUAAAACCAGGGGUCACAUUUUUUUCCCCGAACCGGGUUGCAUAUUUUAGGCCUGUUUUUUCAGACCAACUCUAGCAAAACCUGGCAACACUGCCAGUCACACUUCUUGAAGAGCCGUUUUUAGCCAACAGCUACAGACUGAAACACAAGCCUGCACAGUUCUCAGAAGAAUCCACUUCAUCCUGAUGCACAAACCAGGUAAGACUGAUUAUCUAUAUUGUGUAAAACUAAUAUAUUUAAUGUCUAAACUAUAUUAAUACUACAUUUUGUCCUCAUCUAAUGGUUCCUCUUUUCCACAGUUUCCUACACCUUAGACUGGGUCAACUUAUCUUCUGCGAUUGUAAAGUAACAUUCAGAAGGCUGUUGCAACCUUUUAAUAUCCAUUUUUAUAUUGUUUUAUCUAUCCAGCUAAAUAUUUUCUGUUACUAACCAUAUUUUAUGUCUUAUGUAUCCUUCAUCCCAUCCCAGAAAGGCCCAGCUGAAACAGUCAAAAAAGGCAAAAGAGAGACAACAUUGCCAGGAGAAGAGGUCAACAGAGACAAACACAGAAAGAGCAUUUCGAAGGACAGAAAUGGUAGAGCUCAAUGUAAGAUGAGGAAGAUUGUUGUUGUUGAUGUGGAUGCAUGCAGGAGCUACAGUGAGGAAUGGAAUCUACUGGGACACAUCAUUUCAUGUGUUAUUUACUGCUUUUGUUUGAAAUCUUUAAAUUAAAGUAGAUGUUGUAUUUUUGUAUUGGGUUGGGAUCUAACGGCACACCUAGCCUGCAACCUAUCAAAUCAAAUCACCUAGCCGUAAGGGUUUUGGGAGGGAUAUAUUUUAAAUCUAACCAAUCAAGUCACUUUGCUGUAAGGGUUGUGGGUGGGAUAAAUUUAGUUUACCAAUGAAAUGACUUUUGAGGAAAGUCUGUGUGCUCAGUGGCCCAAUAGCUGUCUCUUGUGGGGGUGGGUUUAGCCUCAAAGCAACCAAUCCAGUUUAACACGAAUGACCAAAAGGGGAGGGACGAAUGGCACAAAGGUAGGAAUGUCCCCUGAAAAAAAGGUGCCUAAGGGGAUAACUUGCCAUGGCAACAAAUGGCCAUUGCGUGAAAGAAUAUCUCAAUAACAUAUAUCCAAAUUGGUAUAAUUUCAGCACGGACCCAUGGUAUUUCCCAUAUCUGGUCAGUAAUACUCCCGGACUCGUCCGAAAUUCUGCGGUGGUACUACUGUUCCAUAUACACCUCUUUUCACGUAGUGUUUUUGGAUCAACAGUCUGACAAGAGGGGGAAAAAAUGAACCACAGAAAGAGUUUUCCAAAUUUUUGUGUAUUUUAUUGAUGAUGACCAGGAUGGUUCCCUUUACAGUAAAUCAGCAGAAAUCUACUUUUGCAUUGAGCUUUUAAAGACAGAAUGUUGAAUAUUGCACUAAAGAAGAAGAGAACUAAGAUUCAUACAGCGCCAAAGAACGAGGAAAUAUCACAGCAUCUUCUCGACAACAUCUUAGGGUAAACAGAAGCCAAGCCCAAUAAUAUAUGCAUAUUUCAGUACCAUAAAGACAGUUAGCUUCAAAUAUAUCUUCUUAAAAUAGUUUUGUUUUAAUUCUGAUCAUUAAACAAUUACAUUCAGGAGUAUAACUAAUAAGGUCACAUGCAAAGAUGGAUACGUAUACAUGACAUAUGGCCAAAUGAAUCCAUCACAUGAUGAUGCAUUUGAUGUGGAAUGAAAUCGAACUAAUAGAGAUUCGUAGAGGUACUUUAACUUUGCAGUCUUUUUUUUACGUUUAGGAAAUUAGAAUUACAAUGACCAUAGAACUUCCUGAAAAGAAAGCGUUUCACAUAAAUGACCACGUCAGCUAUUUUUAUUUAUAUGUACAGGUUACGCCAUUUGUUUUGAUCUCUAUUUUGACAUUUCAAGUCAUUGUAAAGGAGGAAUCUUUACGUCUGUAGUGUAUUCAGUUUUCAGUGUGUAGUUGGUAGCCCUCUGCAAACCAAAGUUGUUGUAUCUUAUUUUUAAGAGAGUUCUGUAUUUGUACGAAAAUCAGCAACAGCUGAAUGUAAUAUUUUGUCAUGAGUCACUCACGAUUCUAACCACUGUUCUUUCGGUGACCCAUUUUCUGAGGUUCACUGUUCCAUGUGCAUAUUUUGCUAGUUCUUUGUUUUGUUCAAGCAGCAUCCAGCAAAGCAACUUUUACAUUCAAAAAUAUUAUUUAAAGUUAGUGCAUUCAUCUUUAACACAAAACUAUUUUGUGUAAAGAAAUCACAGCUAAUUAACAAGACCAUAUAGUACUUGUUACUAAGGCCAGGUAUUUGAAAUAAAACAUUUUCAAAUAUGAAAAUAUAUCCACACCAUAGGACGUACAGUACAGAUUCAGCCCAUUUUAACAAUCCUUCUAGCAAAAGAAAAAAAAAAAAAGAUUUUGGUCUCAGUGUGGGUUUCAUUUGUGUACACUGGUGGAAUUGGGUAUUAAACUGUAUAUAUUUAACCAAUAAACUAGUUUAAUCUUCAAGGCUACUGUCUUUUCGAGGCCCUAGAGGUAAAUUAUUUGACCACCACUGGUAACCUGUGCAUUCUCAGUAAAAGUACACAAAGAACCUGUCACUUUGACCAUCUUAAAGACAAUUUCUUAAUCUAUAUUCAAAUAACACAAUAUGCUAAAUACCGACUUUUACAUUUAAAAAAAUCAAGACAGACUAAAAACAGAUCCACUCACUGUAAAUAUACUGGAUUAAGGUUAGGGAUGCAGUAUUUCAGAGCUUGUUUUGGAAAAGAAUAGAUGAUGGCACUGCUGCCUUGAAAGCAAGGCUACUUUCAAGGACAGAACAAUUGUGCAUUUACCAAUGAGGCCUUGAUGUUUUGCUAUUGAAGAUACUGCUCACAAUGUAAUUGAAGAUGUUGGGCAGCUUUCUCAAAUCAAGUCUAUUUUAGUUCCAAAUGCACAAGCAAAUGAUAGACUGCUAAUAUGUUCUUUCUGCCUUUUUUGUAAAUGGUGUAACUUCAGGUUAGGUUGAAUUAAUAUUCAUUAAAAGAGAUUAAGCUCCAUAAAAAUGCCGAUUAAUUUAUUGAUAUAGCUCUGUUCUCAACAACUGACCUUCAUACAAUUUAAUAUAGAGCCGCUUUUCCACCGUCAGGCCGUUGCUUAAACGUUCCAUUCAGUGCCGAUCCGGCCCAGCCGGUACGGAUAUGGUUUUAUUUUCCACUGCAGGGCUGAUAACAGAGCUCUUCGGAAUGUAACACAAAUGUGUAAGUUGUUGCCUUGGUGUAAAUCGAGAUGUAAAUAGCGACUACAAUUUGGAGGAUCUUCAGAUAUUUCUUUUCAUAUUAUCAUUAACUUGCGUUAACUUCGCUCAAAUAGCGCGCUUGGACAGCUACAGUGAAACUGACAGCCAGGCAACAGACAAGUGACCAAUCCCGAGUGGCCACAUCACUACACGUAUUCUACCAGCACGGUUUUCUGAAUUCCUGGCCAAGAAUGAUUUGUAAUCCAAACCAAGUUUAAGUGGAAAUAUAACUGGAACUGUUCCUUACCGUUCUUGCAACCAUUCGGCCCCACGGUGGAAAAGCGGCUUAGGUAAUAGUAGCUUAAGUAGUUCCUGUCCACUUCGUCAGACAAAAAAACAAAUGUAUCUGACAAUCAGUCAUUUUAAUAAAAAAUUUUAUAUUUGCUUUUUCAAAUAAAUUAAGGUUACUUAAUUAUUUACAUUAUGCCUAUCUACCAAACUGACUUCAUUUUAGAAAAGUGCAAUCGUACUUGGUGCAACAAUGUUAUCAUUAUAAACACCUGCUGCUUUUAUAAUACUUUAACUUGUCAUUAAAUUAAAACUGUAUUAACUGUAUUAGCGUAAACUUGAAGUAAGGCUAUAAAGAAUUUCUAAUUCCAGAUAAUCCAAAAUAAAUUUAUAUUAAUAGACAUUAUAUAUAUAUAUAUAUAUAUAUAUAUAUAUAUAUAUAUUUAUAAUGUCUAUGCAAUAACUCAGCAUUUUCUUCGUUAAACAACACGCAAAAGGCACACGAGGGUAACCCUCACUGUCUGCUCUCACAACACCCAUGAAAUCUAUUCAAUUCUAUUUAUUAGUCUGUCUAUAACAGAUGUCUCUAUUGCUACAUUUUGAUAUAUAUAGUGUAAUUUCCACUGCCAGUUUCUAUUUAAACCAGUUAAACCUAAAGUGCUUGUGGGUCAGGGAAUCUCAGGUUGGGGAAAAAAAAAAAAAAAGUAUAUCAACAUUGCACCAACAAAACAUUCAGCAUGUCACAAGUCUGAAUCCUCCACAUUAAAAUAUAAAACUUUUAGUUGAUCCUAAAGUGGCCGCAUUUAAAUUUCCAUAACACUUUGACGAUUUUAUUUAAAAUUAUAAUAACAAAAUCAGAACAUAAUGUAAUUGGCAAUAAAACACAAUUUCCAUCUGUCUCUAGUGGUGGUCUACUCAAAUAAUGGACAGAUGGGAUGCAAGCUGCUCAUUAUUAGUCAGUUUUUGAAGAGAGGGGUGGACCCCAACACAUCCCCUGAACAGAUCACUAGAUUAAUGUACCUAGAAGUUUAGUCUGAAGAGCAUCAUGCUUUAGGAAGGUAACUGCAAUACCAAAUUAACACUACUGUUAUACUUUCUAUAACUUUUCACCCUUCUAUAACCAGUCACAUUUUCAUAUCAGAGCCUAUUCAACCGAAAUCUGUCAUAUCAGUGAGUUGGUGGUUUGUAAAGAUGCCAUCUACUUUGCCUUACUCUUAAAAGAGUAAGUCUUCACUACCAUCACAUUAUUGAGAUAAAACAAUUGGAUUGCAUGUUUGAAUAAAGAAUUAAUAAUCUCUUGUCAACUAAAGACAUAAAUCUUGGAUUAUGGUUGAUUUUGUUUUUUAAAAUUGCCAUUUGAAAGAAUUGAGAUUUGGCACAAAUCCUCUUUGGAUUAGCAAUUUAGAGCACAUUUAUUUCUUUCUUCACUCUAUGCUGGUAUGUGAUCUCAUGGGGAGACUGUGUCUAGCCUCA